rnacentral:lncRNA from 1 species
GCUGACCAGCUGGGGCUGUGCCUCACCUGAGGGGGAGGUCUUUACCAGUAGGCUGGCCAGUGAGUGAGGUCAACCAGACUCCCUCUCUGGGGAAAAAGUGAGUUAGGAGUCAAGGGGAACAGAGAACACUCAGGCUAAAAGAUCCUGUCAGCUGAGGGGCCUAGAUGAAUAUCAAGCUUGAGGGACACAUCCCAGAAGAAGGAGCACAAGGGCAGGGUGACAUUAGGUAUUUAUGGUGGAUUCUUUAUGGUCUGAGCCACCAGGGAAGCCCUCUCUUCUUUGAUGCUGGGAACGCAUGAGAAGGAAAACUAGCUGCUGGAGGUUUUCUGAGUGGCAGAACCACCAGGCCCAUCCUGUGCUGUCACCAAAAUUCAGCAUGAUGAAGGAGUCCUUAGAAAGGCCAACCUGAGCCCCUAAAGGGAAUAAGUGGGGAUAUAAAGCCUGGUGCCUGCAGAGUAGUCUAGAGAGUUCUGAAGACAGAAGGCCCACUGGAGUUGCUGGGAUUGUGGGGCUAUGUCCCCAGGAAGAGAGGGGGGCACCUCUCACCCUAGCUUGUUCUCCACAGCCUUUGGAUGAUAGUAAAUGUAUCCCUAAAGCUUGUAC